UAAAACUCAUCAGAUAUACUCUUCAAUUGAAUGGAUUGCCCCAAAUUCACUCAGAAUACCCAUAUAUUGGAUGGAUUGGUCCAAAUUCACUCAAAAUACUCAAUUUUACAUAAAUUAUUCAAUUUCUAUUUUAACCCAAUAUGAUCCACCUAAUCGACCACCACUUUACUGCCAGCAUUUUACUACCUAUUUCUACCACCUCCGAUGCCGACGACAACAAGAGACAAGAACUCCUAUUAACAAUUUACAGUACACACUUAUUGAUGAAAGAAAAAAACUUCACCAAAAACAAGCAUUGUUGUUAUUGCUUUCUUGAUUUUUUUUGGCUGUUGACUUGAAGAAGUAAGAAAAUUCUCAUAAAAACUUUCUCCUCUCCAUGUUUCCCAUGGCUGUUGCUAGCUCGGGCGACAGCCACCCCAGAAAACUCUUACAGCUUGUUUGGAUGGUGGUUUGUCAUGGUUUCAUAAUAUAUGGUACAGUAUAGUAUGGUAUAAUACAGUGCAAUGGUACAAUACCAUGUUUGGAUUGACGGUAUCGUUCACUGUGUUUUAAUAAUAGUUUUUUGUUUGAUUUGAU
rnacentral:lncRNA from 1 species